CCUACGGGGUGCUGCAGUGAGGAAUAUUGGUCAAUGGACGAGAGUCUGAACCAGCCAAGUAGCGUGAAGGAUGACUGCCCUAUGGGUUGUAAACUUCUUUUAUAUGGGAAUAAAAUGUUCCACGUGUGGGAUUUUGUAUGUACCCUAUGAAUAAGGAUCGGCUAACUCCGUGCCAGCAGCCGCGGUAAUACGGAGGAUCCGAUCGUUAUACGGAUUUAUUGGGUUUAAAGGGAGCGUAGGUGGAAUGUUAAGUCAGUUGUGAAAGUUUGCGGCUCAACCGUAAAAUUGCAGUUGAAACUGGCAGUCUUGAGUACAGGAGAGGUGGGCGGAAUUCGUGGUGUAGCGGUGAAAUGCUUAGAUAUCACGAAGAACUCCGAUUGCGAAGGCAGUUCACUGGACUGCAACUGACACUGAGGCUCGAAAGUGUGGGUAUCAAACAGGAUUAGAUACCCUAGUAGUC
rnacentral:rRNA from 1 species